UACGUGAGGUCCGAGCGUUGUCCGGAGUUACUGGGCGUAAAGGGCGCGCAGGUGGCGGUGUUGGCCCGGCGUGAAAGCCCCCGGCUCAACCGGGGAGGGUCGUCGGGGACCGCACCGCUUGAGGGCGGUAGGGGCUGGUGGAAUGCCUGGUGUAGUGGGUGAAAUGCGUAGAGAUCAGGCGGAACACCCGUAGCGAAGGCGGCCAGCUGGGCCGUCCCUGACACUGAGGCGCGAAGGCGUGGGGAGCGAACGGG
rnacentral:rRNA from 1 species